CCUACGGGAGGCAGCAGUGAGGAAUAUUGGUCAAUGGACGAGAGUCUGAACCAGCCAAGUAGCGUGAAGGAUGACUGCCCUAUGGGUUGUAAACUUCUUUUAUAUGGGAAUAAAAUGUUCCACGUGUGGGAUUUUGUAUGUACCAUAGGAAUAAGGAUCGGCUAACUCCGUGCCAGCAGCCGCGGUAAUACGGAGGGUCCGAGCGUUAUCCGGAUUUAUUGGGUUUAACGGGAGCGUAGGUGGAUUGUUAAGUCAGUUGUGAAAGUUUGCGGCUCAACCGUAAAAGUGCAGUUGAAACUGACAGUCUUGAGUGCAGGAGAGGUGGGCGGAAUUCGUGGUGUAGCGGUGAAAUGCUUAGAUAUCACGAAGAACUCCGAUUGCGAAGGCAGUUCACUGGACUGCAACUGACACUGAGGCUCGAAAGCGUGGGUAUCAAACAGGAUUAGAUACCCGGGUAGUC
rnacentral:rRNA from 1 species